rnacentral:rRNA from 1 species
AUUAAACGCUGGCGGCAUGCCUUACACAUGCAAGUCGAACGGCAGCACGGGGGCAACCCUGGUGGCGAGUGGCGAACGGGUGAGUAAAGCAUCGGAACGUGCCCUGGAGUGGGGGAUAACGUAGCGAAAGUUACGCUAAUACCGCAUAUUCUGUGAGCAGGAAAGCAGGGGAUCGCAAGACCUUGCGCUCUGGGAGCGGCCGAUGUCGGAUUAGCUAGUUGGUGGGGUAAAGGCCUACCAAGGCGACGAUCCGUAGCGGGUCUGAGAGGAUGAUCCGCCACACUGGGACUGAGACACGGCCCAGACUCCUACGGGAGGCAGCAGUGGGGAAUUUUGGACAAUGGGCGAAAGCCUGAUCCAGCCACGCCGCGUGGGUGAUGAAGGCCUUCGGGUUGUAAAGCCCUGUCGGGAGGGACGGAAUACUGACGGUACCGUCCCAACGAAAGACACCGGCUAACUACCGUGCCAGCAGCCGCGGUAAU